rnacentral:rRNA from 1 species
UUAGCUGAGAGGUGGUGCAUGGCCGUCGUCAGUUCGUACUGUGAAGCAUCCUGUUAAGUCAGGCAACGAGCGAGACCCACGCCCACAGUUGCCAGCGUACUCUCCGGAGUGACGGGUACACUGUGGGGACCGCCGCUGCUAAAGCGGAGGAAGGAAUGGGCAACGGUAGGUCAGUAUGCCCCGAAUAUCCCGGGCUACACGCGAGCUACAAUGGUUGGUACAAUGGGUAUCUACCCCGAAAGGGGAUGGAAAUCUCCUAAAGCCAAUCUUAGUCCGGAUUGAGGGCUGCAACUCGCCCUCAUGAAGCUGGAAUCCGUAGUAAUCGCGUUUCAACAGAACGCGGUGAAUACGUCCCUGCUCCUU